GCAAACUUGGUCAUUUAGAGGAAGUAAAAGUCGUAACAAGGUCUCCGUAGGUGAACCUGCGGAGGGAUCAUUACAGAGUUCGUGCCCUCACGGGUAGAUCUCCCCACCCUUGUGUAUCUCCGUAUUCUUGUUGCUUUGGCAGGCCGCUGGGCUUCGGCCUGGCCACCGGCUCCUGGGGCUGGUGCGCGCCUGCCAGAGGACCUCUCAAACUCGGUUUGUUACUGUCGUCUGAGUACUAUAACAAUCGUUAAAACUUUCAACAACGGAUCUCUUGGUUCUGGCAUCGAUGAAGAACGCAGC
rnacentral:misc_RNA from 1 species